UACGGAGGGUGCAAGCGUUGUUCGGAUUUACUGGGCGUAAAGGGCGCGUAGGUGGCGACCCAAGUCGAUGGUGAAAGCUCGCCGCUCAACGGCGAGUCGGCCACCGAUACUGGGUUGCUGGAGCACUGUAGAGGCUCAUGGAAUUCCGGGUGUAGCGGUGGAAUGCGUAGAGAUCCGGAAGAACACCGGUGGCGAAGGCGGCGAGCUGGGCAGUUGCUGACACUGAGGCGCGACAGCGUGGGGAGCAAACAGGG
rnacentral:rRNA from 1 species